CCACACUACCUGAGCUGCACUCACUGCAGCUCCCCACACCUCCUAUAGCUCACACUAACUGAGCAGCACGUUCACUGCAGCUCCCCACACCUCCUAUAACACACACUACCUGAGCAGCACACUCACUGCUCCCCACACUACCUGAGCAUCACACUCACUGCAGCUCUCCACACCUCUUAUAACACACACUACCUGAGCAGGACACUCACUAUAGCUCCCCAAACCUCC